rnacentral:misc_RNA from 1 species
GAUGAAGAACGUAGCGAAAUGCGAUACGUAAUGUGAAUUGCAGAAUUCAGUGAAUCAUCGAAUCUUUGAACGCACAUUGCGCCCCCUGGUAUUCCGGGGGGCAUGCCUGUCCGAGCGUCAUUACAACCCUCAAGCUCAGCUUGGUGUUGGGCCCCGCCGCCCCGGCGGGCCCUAAAGUCAGUGGCGGUGCCGUCCGGCUCCGAGCGUAGUAAUUCUUCUCGCUCUGGAGGUCCGGUCGUGUGCUUGCCAGCAACCCCCAAUUUUUUUCAGGUUGACCUCGGAUCAGGUAGGGAUACCCGCUGAACUUAAGCAUAUCAAUAAGCGGAGGA